CCUACGGGUGGCAGCAGUGAGGAAUAUUGGUCAAUGGACGAGAGUCUGAACCAGCCAAGUAGCGUGAAGGAUGACUGCCCUAUGGGUUGUAAACUUCUUUUAUAUGGGAAUAAAAUGUUCCACGUGUGGGAUUUUGUAUGUACCAUAUGCAUAAGGAUCGGCUAACUCCGUGCCAGCAGCCGCGGUCAUACGGAGUAUCCGAGCGUUGUCCGGAUUUACUGGGUUUAGAGGGAGCGUAUGUGGAUUGUUAAGUCAGUUGUGAAAGUGUUCGGCUCAACCGUAAAAUUGCAGUUGAAACUGGCAGUCUUGAGUACAGUUGCGGUGGGCGGAAUUCGUGGUGGAGCGGUGAAAUGCUUAGAUAUCACGAAGAACUCCGAUUGCGAAGGCAGUUCACUGGACUGCAACUGACACUGAGGCUCGAAAGUGUGGGUAUCAAACAGGAUUAGAGACCCUAGUAGUC
rnacentral:rRNA from 1 species